UACGUAGGGGGCGAGCGUUGUCCGGAUUUACUGGGCGUAAAGCGCGUGUAGGCGGGAGAUUAAGUUGGGUGUGAAAGCCCGGGGCUCAACCCCGGGAUGCCGCCCAAGACUGGUCUCCUUGAGGACGGAAGAGGGGAGUGGAAUUCCUGGUGUAGCGGUGAAAUGCGCAGAUAUCAGGAGGAACACCAAUUGCGAAGGCAGCUUGCUGGGACGUGACUGACGCUGAGACGCGAAAGCGUGGGGAGCAAACAGG
rnacentral:rRNA from 1 species